rnacentral:lncRNA from 1 species
GCUGCUCUGAGUUCUCUGUCAGGUUUCUCUCCAGGUUUUGUCUAGGGUUUUGUUCCAAGGAAACCUCAAAGUGUUUUGCUUCUCUUCCUUUUUCUGUAUGUUCUCCCUCUUUUAUAACCUGAUUUUCAUGGCUUUGUGGGCUUUUGAGAGAGAUCCAAGUCUGAGAUUUUUUCUUUUAUUUUUUUUUAUUAUUAUUUAUUA